AUGGGCGCAAGCCUGAUGCAGCCAUGCCGCGUGUAUGAAGAAGGCCUUCGGGUUGUAAAGUACUUUCAGCAGUGAGGAAGGUGGAUGUGUUAAUAGCGCCUUCAUUUGACGUUAGCUGCAGAAGAAGCACCGGCUAACUCCGUGCCAGCAGCCGCGGUAAUACGGAGGGUGCGAGCGUUAAUCGGAAUUACUGGGCGUAAAGCGCAUGCAGGUGGUUUGUUAAGUCAGAUGUGAAAGCCCGGGGCUCAACCUCGGAAUUGCAUUUGAAACUGGCAGACUAGAGUACUGUAGAGGGGGGUAGAAUUUCAGGUGUAGCGGUGAAAUGCGUAGAGAUCUGAAGGAAUACCGGUGGCGAAGGCGGCCCCCUGGACAGAUACUGACACUCAGAUGCGAAAGCGUGGGGAGCAAACAGGAUUAGAUACCCUGGUAGUCCACGCCGUAAACGAUGUCUACUUGGAGGUUGUGGCCUUGAGCCGUGGCUUUCGGAGCUAACGCGUUAAGUAGACCGCCU
rnacentral:rRNA from 1 species